rnacentral:rRNA from 1 species
CUGCGAGUGAAGAGGGAAAAGCUCAAAUUUAAAUCUGGCAGCUUCGCUGUCCGAGUUGUAAUUUAGAGAAGUGUUACCCGCGUUGGACCGUGUACAAGUCUCCUGGAACGGAGCGUCAUAGAGGGUGAGAAUCCCGUCUUUGACACGGACUACCAAGGCUUUGUGGUACGCUCUCGAACAGUCGAGUUGUUUGGGAAUGCAGCUCUAAAUGGGUGGUAAAUUCCAUCUAAAGCUAAAUAUUGGCGAGAGACCGAUAGCAAACAAGUACCGUGAGGGAAAGAUGAAAAGAACUUUGGAAAGAGAGUUAAACAGUACGUGAAAUUGUUGAAAGGGAAACGCUUAAAGUCCAGUCGCGUUGGUUAGGAAUCAGCCUUGGUUUUCCUUGGUGUACUUCCUAAUCGACGGGUCAACAUCAGUUUUGACCGUUGGAUAAAGGUUGAGGGAAUGUGGCACCUUCGGGUGUGUUAUAGCCCUUGAUUGUAUACAGCGGUUGGGACUGAGGAACUCAGCACGCCGAAAGGCCGGGUCUUGUACCACGUUCGUGCUUAGGA